rnacentral:lncRNA from 1 species
GAAGAGAGAGAGAGAGAGAGAUGUGGAGAGAGAGAGAGACAGGGAGAGUUUGGGAAGAGAGGGGGAGGGGGAUUUAAAGAGGGGAGAGACGGAGAGACGAGCCAAAGGAGGGAUAUUUUGGGAAGGAAUGUCAAAUUUGGAAGAGGACAUAGGGGCGGCCGGGAGAGUUGGGCAUUCCCAAAAUCCCCUCCUGUGAUUUUCUUUUGAAUAAAAGAUAGGUGGAAGAGAGAGAGAUGCUCGGCUUCUUAUACGGGAAGCAUUUUGAGUUUUGGGGGGCACGGGACAAGACAAGAUCCGGCCCUCUGGGGCAUUUGAGCCCUAGUUAGUGGUGGGAUGGUUUUUUAGACUAAGCAUGUCUACUGAAAAACCAACGAGGCUACAGAUUGGAUGGUCUUCUACAGAUUGAAU